CUUGGCUGCAUAAUUUCAACACCAUCAACAUCAAUUCCAUGUGACAGUAUUAAAUCUAGAGUAUGAUUUCGACAAUGAGUAGGUCCUGAGACGUGUUGUCUAACCCCAAUAGAGUUCAGAAUGUCUAUAAAUGCUGAUCCCAAUGCAUCUGUUAUGUUCAUUGUGUUAAGUGUUUUAGGUUUCACUCUUGGGACUCUAAUUUUGAAAAUUACCAGACUAAGCAAGGGAGCAGCCAUUUUGGUUUCAGUUUGCUCAGCUCUCUCAAGCUUUAAGCUCCAUGUGACUGCCGCUCCAGUUUUCUUUAAUGUUCAUGUCUUCGAAAGCAUUGUCAUUUCACUCUCCUUUGAAGCAUAUUGGAGUAAACAUCAGGAGUUUUGAAAACUACACCCUGGCUCCAGUCUUUAUUUGAAGGGAGUUUGGCUUGCUGCUAAAUUGUGUUCACACAUAUGGAAACACACAAGGAGAGCAGUACAGUGAAAUGACAAAUCAGCUGGCUGAACAUCUUGGCAGAAGCGUACAGUAGCAAGUAGUGAGCAUCAUGGCUGAAAGGUAUCUAAAAGACACCACGUUAGGAAAGAUACAAAGUAAAAGUAACAGAGCAUCUGACACAUCCUCUAAAAGUUCCAUAAGAACUUCAAGAUCAUCAAGAUCUUCAGUUGGUGUUGCUGCAGCACGUGCUAGAGCUAAGGCAGAGGCAGCACGUGCACGAGUUACCUUUUCAGAGAGAGAAAUUGCAAUUAAAGUGGACUCAGCCAGACUACAAGCUAAUUUGGAAGCCCUACAUCUGGAAAAAGAGGCUGCAGCUGCUAGUGCAGAAGCGGAUAUAUUAGAAGCAGCAGCAGAGUUUGAGGAUGAGGAGCCAUAUGAAAGGAAAAGUCACUCUUCAUCAGCACAAAGCACAAAAAAACGUGUUUGUGAUUAUGUCAGGGAUCAAGCUACAUAUCUCAGUGAGCAGGCCGACUUAACCGCUGAUCAGUCUCAUGAUUGCAAAUCUGAACCAGACCAAGUGACGGAUCAGAACCAGUUUACCUCUCAAACUGAACCAAAUAUAGUGCAUGUGAAUGAUGACCAGUAUGUCGUACUUGAUGCAUGUUCUACAUCUCCAUCUCUAAGAGUGCCAAAACUGCAACAAGUAAAACUCCCAAGAAACAUGAAAAAAGAGUCAAUAGAAAUACCAGUCAGCAAUAAAUGGCAGCAACAGGCUAAGUGCAGCGGUGUAUCCAGAUCUUUGCCACAACACUCAGAAACUUCAGGCAUGAUGGACCUAGUGAAAUAUCUUGCACGUCGUGAGCUGGUGAGCAGUGGUUUAACACGCUUUGAUGAUCACCCUGAAAGUUACAGAGCCUGGAGGUCCUCUUUUAUCAACACAAUCAAAGACUUGGGUCUUACGGCCAGUGAGGAGCUAGACUUGUUGUCAAAGUGGCUUGGUAAAGAAUCUUCAGAAUACGUAAGACGUCUCAGGGCAGUUCACAUAGGAAACCCAGACACAGCCUUGAAAAUGGUCUGGAACAGACUUGAUGAAUGCUACAGCUCACCUGAAGUAAUCGAAAGUGCAUUGUUUAAGAAGUUAGACAGUUUUCCCAGGAUUUCAGGUAAAGACAACCUCAAAUUAAGAGAGCUAGGAGAUCUUUUAAUGGAGCUUCUCUCAGCCAAAGAUGACGGCUAUCUACCAGGUUUAGCCUACUUAGACACUGCUCGCGGCAUCAGGCCCAUCGUUGAAAAACUGCCAUAUACCUUACAAGAGAAAUGGAUUUCUCAAGGCUCAAAGUUCAAAGAAGAAUUUGGUGUCACUUAUCCUCCUUUCUCGUUCUUUACUCAGUUCAUUUGCAAUCAUGCUAAAACACGUAAUGAUCCCAGCUUUGCCUUUUCUAGUAGUUGCCGCCCACAGUAUGAAGGGCUCACUGUAAACCGCUCUAACUUCAAGACGCCAGUGUUGGUGCACAAAACUGAAAUCUCUCAUAGUGCAUUUCAAGACAAAAUGCCUUCUAAAGAUGAUCCAGCCAAAUACUGUCCUAUACACAACAAACCUCACCCUUUAAGGAAAUGUCGAGGCUUCAGAUUGAAAACCAUCGAUGAGCGAAAAGCAUACCUAAAAGACCAAGGGAUCUGCUUUAGGUGCUGCUCUUCAUCAUCACACUUUGCUCGCGAUUGCAAAGUCAUUCUAAAAUGUGAUGAUUGCAACAGUGACAGUCACAACUCAGCUCUGCAUCCUGGUCCACCCUCAUGGACACCUAAAAUCCGAAGUCCUCCAUUACAGCAUGGCGGGGAGGAUGCAGGAGAAAAUCCAACAACACAAGAAGUGAGCUCCCUUUGCACUGAAGUUUGUCAUGGUCUUUCCACAAAAUCUUGUUCCAAAAUAUGUCUCGUCAAGGUGUUUCCUGUGGGGCAUCCUGAGAAUGCAGUAAAGAUGUAUGCUAUACUCGACGAUCAGAGCAACAGAUCUCUGGCCAGGUCAAGAUUUUUUGACAUAUUCAACAUCAAUAGUAAAGCAACUCCUUACAGCCUAAAGACAUGUGCUGGGUUGAUUGAGUGCUUAGGAAGGAAAGCAAAUGGCUAUCAGAUUGAAGCGGCAAAUGGUGGAAUCAGUCUUGCGCUUCCAACACUAAUUGAAUGUGAUGAAAUACCCAACAACCGUGAUGAAAUUCCAACACCUGAAGCUGCUCUCCAUCAACUUCACCUCAAGCAUAUUGCAUCUGAAAUACCAGACGAGACAUACUCAGAGUUCAUAAAGUGAGGAAACAAAUUAAUGGCCCAAAUAACACACCCUUUGGCCAAAAACUUGACUUAGGAUGGGUUCUGGUCGGUGAAGUAUGCCUAGGAGAUGUGCACAAGCCCAGUGUUUCCAGUUUCAAGACAAACAUCUUAGAAAAUGGAAGACCCUCACUGUUUAUUCCUUGUACAAGUCACGUACACAUUAAAGAAAAGAUCACCAGUAACUUAACAGCUCUGCAUACAGCCCAUGACUUCGAAGCCCACUGUAACAUGAACGAAGACAAUCUCGGCCAGACUCUAUUUAAGAGAUCAGAGAAUGACAAUAAGCCUGCACUCUCCGUCGAGGAUGAAGUCUUUCUAAAGAUUAUGGAGAAAGAUGUUUUCCAGGAUAAUUCCAACAGUUGGGUGGCCCCUCUUCCUUUUAGGUCUCCAUGCCCAGUUCUUUCGAACAACAGAGAUCAAGCUUUGAGCCGCCUCUCUUCCUUACGACGUACCCUAGAACGGAAGCCAGAUAUGAAAGAACAGUUUGUAACUUUCAUGCAAAAACUAUUCAACAGUGAUCAUGCAGAACUUGCAGCUCCACUACCAAAGGGAAAUGAAUGCUGGUACUUACCACUAUUCGGAGUCUAUCAUCCCAAAAAAACAGAUCAGAUCAGGGUAGUAUUUGACUCCAGCGCACAGCAUGAAGGUACCUCUCUCAAUAAUGUGCUCCUCACUGGACCAGACCUUAAUAACAGCCUCAUUGGCGUCCUGAUGCGCUUCAGGAAAGAAUGUGUAGCAGUGAUGGCAGACAUACAACAAAUGUUUCACUGUUUUGUUGUGAGAGAAGAUCACAGAGAUUACCUACGCUUCCUAUGGUACCGUGAUAACGACCUUAACAAGGACAUUGUUGAAUACAAGAUGAAAGUCCAUGUGUUUGGCAACAGCCCUUCCCUGGCGGUAGCGAUUUACUGUUUAAGACGAGCAGCAGAGAAGGGUGCUCUGCGAUACGGUCCAGACACCCGGUACUUUGUGGAACGUGGAUUCUAUGUGGAUGAUGCACUAAUCUCCUUGCCAACUGAAGAGGAAGCAAUAGACCUACUAAAGAGAACACAAGCAUCCCUCUCCGAAUCAAACCUGCGGCUGCACAAGAUUGUAUCCAACAGUCUACAAGUACUCAAAGCAUUCCCAACUGAAGAUCACGCGAAAGACAUCAAAGACCUCGAUCUCAGUGGAACAACUAUGCCUACACAACGCAGCCUUGGUCUGAAUUGGGAGACUGCGACUGAUACAUUUACAUUUAAAGUAUCAGUCAACGACAAACCAUUCACACGCCGUGGUGUCCUUUCCAUAAUUAAUAGUCUUUUUGAUCCUCUCGGUCUUGUGGCUCCUGUCACUAUACAGGGGAGGUUUCUACUUCGAGAGCUAUCCAUUGAAGGAACAGACUGGGAUGAAUCACUGCCACAAGAGAAACAUGGUGAGUGGGAAUCAUGAAGGGCAUUCAGUGAAAGACUUGCAACACCUUCACAUUCUUUGUCCUUACACACCCAACUCUCAUUCAAAGGCAAUUCACAAAGAAAUCUGUGUUUUCUCUGAUGCGUCAACAAAGGCCAUAGGGGCUGUAGCAUAUCUCAGGGCAGUAGAUGGAGAUGGACAGAUCAGCAUUGGCUUCAUCUUAGGAAAAGCAAAACUGACGCCAAAAAACCAGCCUACCAUACCCCGAUUAGAGCUUUGUGCUGCAGUCUUAGCAGUGGAGGUAGCAGAACUCAUUGUUCAAGAGAUUGACUUCAAACCGGAUGCUAUUACCUUCUACAGUGAUAGCAAAAUUGUACUUGGCUAUAUCUAUAACGAAACUAAACGUUUCUACGUCUAUGUCCACAACAGGGUGCAGAGAAUCAGACAAUUUUCAGAACCAAAGCAAUGGCGAUACAUACCCACAGAGCACAAUCCUGCUGACAUUGCUUCCAGGUCCAUCCAUGCAUCUCAGCUCGUGAAAUCAAACUGGUUUACAGGUCCAGCAUUCCUGCAUAAGCCACAUGAAGAUGAUUUCAAUAUGACAGACAACUUUGCGCUUGUGGAUCCAGAUUCAGAUACAGAAAUCAGGCCAAUUGUGACAGCUUGCACCACAGGAAUGAAGGAUAAACAACUCACCUCUGACAGGUUUCAGAGGUUCUCCUCUUGGAAACCCUUACAAAGAGCCAUUGCAUCGCUCAUCCAUGUAGCUUGCUCUUCUAGAUCCACCAGUGAAUCCAACACAUGCAGUGGUUGGCACCUUUGUUCACAAGCACACACUGUAAGUGGGUUGUUAAAAGCCAAGAAUGUGAUAAUCAGCUCUGUGCAAAAGGAAUCAUUCAACAAGGACAUCGAAACACUCUCUAAGGGAGGACACCUGAGCAGCAAAGUUCCACUCUCGAAACUGAAUCCUUUCUUAGAUGAGGACGGUCUACUCCGAGUCGGAGGCAGAUUAAAACUGGCAGAUUUAAACUACCCAGAGAAAAACCCAGUCAUCUUGCCCGGUAAGCAUCACGUUUCUGCGUUACUCAUAAGGCACUACCAUGAACGUGUGGAGCACCAAGGCCGCAUAUUCACAGAAGGGGCCAUUCGUGCUGCUGGAUUAUGGCUUAUUGGAGGAAAGAGAUGCAUAAGCAGUAUUCUUCAUGGAUGUGUAACCUGUCGUAAACUUCGUGGUAAACUUGAAAUGCAGAAAAUGUCAGACUUGCCACCAGAACGACUAAGUGUGUCACCACCCUUUACUUACACUGGCUUAGAUGUCUUUGGGCCUUGGACAGUGGUAGCUCGCCGAACAAGAGGAGGUCAAGCUCUCAGUAAACGCUGGGCGGUGCUUUUCACCUGCAUGAGCACCCGUGCAGUUCACAUUGAAGUCAUUAUGUCUAUGGACUCUUCGAGUUGUAUCAAUGCACUUCGCAGGUUUUUCGCGAUCCGUGGCCCUGCAAAACAACUGCACUCAGACUGUGGAACCAACUUUGUUGGUGCUUGCAACGAGCUUGAAUUCCACAAAGUUAUAAAAGAAACAAAGGUGCAAAGAUACAUCAAUAACGAGGGAUGCACAUGGGUUUUCAACCCACCACACUCCUCCCAUAUGGGGGGCGCAUGGGAGCGAAUGAUUGGUCUGGCUCGUAGAAUUCUUGACUCAAUGCUGAUGCGGGAAGGACAUUCUAACCUCUCAGAUGAAGUGCUUUGUACACUUAUGGCGGAAGUGACAGCAAUUAUUAACAGUAGACCUCUCGUACCUGUUUCUUUGGAUGCAGACUCACCCUUGAUUCUUACCCCUGCAAUGCUCUUAACACAAAAAGCAGUUUCUUCACCUCCAGCAGGAGACUUCUCUGAAAAGGAUAUCUACAAACGCCAAUGGCGGCAAGUACAGAGCCUAGCCAACCAAUUUUGGUUUCGCUGGAAACAGGAAUAUCUGCAAACGCUGCAAGUUUGUCACAAAUGGCAGGACCCAUACCCAAACAUUGAGGAGGGUGACAUAGUACUACUAAAGGACAAUCAAGUAGCCCGAAAUGAAUGGCCUAUGGCACUCGUCACAAGUGUUUUCCCUGGUCAAGAUGGAAAGGUUCGAAAGGUUGAACUUAAAGUGACUAAAGAAGGGUCCAGCAAAACCUUCUUGAGGCCUAUAUCUGAAGUAAUUCUCCUGCUAAGAAAAUAGGAAAACUCCUUUAAACAGUUGGUAUAGAUGACAUCUUCAUAGAUGUCAGGCGGGGAGUGUUAUGUUCAUUGUGUUAAGUGUUUUAGGUUUCACUCUUGGGACUCUAAUUUUGAAAAUUACUAGACUAAGCAAGGGAGCAGCCAUUUUGGUUUCAGUUUGCUCAGCUCUCUCAAGCUUUAAGCUCCAUGUGACUGCCGCUCCAGUUUUCUUUAA
ensembl:lncRNA